rnacentral:rRNA from 1 species
UACGUAGGGACCAAGCGUUGUUCGGAUUUACUGGGCGUAAAGGGCGCGUAGGCGGCAAUUCAAGUCAUCUGUGAAAUCUCCGGGCUUAACUCGGAAUGGUCAGGUGAUACUGCUUUGCUAGAGUGCAGAAGGGGCAAUCGGAAUUCUUGGUGUAGCGGUGAAAUGCGUAGAUAUCAAAGAGGAACACCUGAGGUGAAGACGGGUUGCUGGGCUGACACUGACGUGAGGCGCGAAAGCUAGGGGGAGCAAACGGG